rnacentral:rRNA from 1 species
GAUGAACGCUGGCGGCGUGCCUAAUACAUGCAAGUCGAGCGAACAGACGCUGAGCUUGCUCCUCUGACGUUAGCGGCGGACGGGUGAGUAACACCUGGUUAACCUACUUAUCAGACCUGCUUAAUUUCGGGAUACCGGAGCUAAUACUGGAUAAUAUAUUGAACCUCACGGUUCACUAGUGUAAGACGGGUUUGCUGUCUCUUAUAGAUGGAUCGGCGCUGCAUUAGCUAGUUGGUAGGGUAACGGCUUACCAAGGCAACGAUGCGUAGCCGACCUGUGAGGGUGAGUGGCCACACUGGAACGGAGACACGGACCAGACUCCUACGGGAGGCAGCAGUAGGGAAUGUUCCGCGAUGAGCGAGAGCCAGACGGAGCAAGGCCGGGUGAGUGAUGAAGGUAUUCGGAUCGGAAAACUCUGUUAUUAGGGAAGAACAAAUGUGUGAGUAACUAUGCACGUCUUGACGGUACCUAAUCAGAAAGCCACGGCUAACUACGUG